GGGAGGCGGCGGCGGCCGGGCGGGGCUGACGGCUGGAGGGGCUCCCUGAGGGGGCUGCCGCUGGCCUUCCGUCGCUCCCCGCCGGGAUGGCAGCUGCGGGGCUGCUCCGAGCGGCUGUCUCUGGCCUUCCCCCUUUCCCCGCUGGGACGGCAGAGUAGGAGUGCCUGCAAGCGAAGGGAAGUGCUUUUCGUCCUGCAGACGCCGGUACGGGUGAAGCUCUGGGGUGAAUCUUGAGGUGCCAUCAGGCAUGAACCCAGCAGCUGAAGCAAUGCUGUUUGAAAGAUGACCAGAAAUAAUGGUAGCAUGGCAGUAUUUCUUUGGACAUGUUCAGGCAUGGCUUUACAGCUCCUGUUCUGACAGAGUUGAGAGACAUCCUUGCCUGUGGCAGGGUGGUUGGAGUAGGUGGUCUCCAAGGUCCCUUCCAAUCUAAGCCAAGUAAUUCAGUGCAAUAGAGUUGUCAACCUCGUGAGAGCAUUCUUCUCACUGUGUGUAACACUUGAAACUUGUCUAAAAGGAAGACAGCUGUUGAAUUCCCCUGAGAAAACAGCUGAACUGCAACAAAAGUGCUCAAUACUCAGUUAUGAGAGGAAGCUCCUGGUCCUUUUGAGUUCUUUCCUAGCAGACACUCAUGAAAACUAAAAGAGAGUUUCUUGCUCUGCACUACAGAAAAUUCAGCUUUUUGCCUUCUACUGUAUUUGUGUGUGUGUGUGUGUGCAUUCAAGUCACAGAAACAUCCAAGUUGGAAGAGACCCUCAGGAUAGCCAUUUCCAAACCUCUAACCCUGCUCUACAAGAUUCACUUUAAACCAUACCCCUAGGCACGACAUCCAAAUGCCCCUUAGAAGGACAGGUAAACACAAAACUCAACUUCAAAAACUCUUUAUUUUAAGACCCUCAUGAUCAAGUUUAGGCUUUGAAGCAUAUUCCAUAGAAGGUCACUAUACUACUCAGCUAGUGAACAUUUUCUGAGUGGAUCUUAAAAACCUAUAGAAACAAUUCUGGUAAACAGCAAGACAGAAUGCAAGUCAUAACAUGAACUAUUUUGAGUACCUUUAUGCGAACUUCAUGUGCUUUUGGUGGGGCAACUUCCACUUCCUCCACAGAAAAUGGUUUAUUGGCUUCCCACAUUACAGCUGCCUUGCACUUGAUAACCUGCAAUCAGAGCAAAGGCAAAGGGAUGGCAUUUGCAUUUCCAGUCACCACACUGAGAGAUUCUUACAUUUUUACAUGUGAAACUCCAGAUCAUAACUGGGGGAAGGAAAACAAAGCCACUCCUGCCUACAAACAACAACAAAGACAACACCAAAGCAUGGCAUAAGCCCAUUUCCAACCCCACCUCCCCAGGAUCAUAGCUUGCUUUGUUCAUAUUUCUCUGAUACGAUGUCUUCAGCACCACAGAAAAUUAUCUUCCAGGAUAACUGGAUACCCUCCCAGCCUCUUUGCUCCUUCUCUGCUUCUAUCUUCCUUGGAAAGUUGGUUUUGCUGUAUGGGGUAACUAGCGUAAUUUGUGUCUUCUUGGAGAUGGCACACUAAGUGAUGCUAUACAGCAGGUUGUGUUGCCUACAACUGCCUGAACUGUCAUGAACAGAACAAAAUUGUGGAACCUAAUACAAGUUUAGAAACAUUUCAUUACAGGCCAUGUUCAGCCAUGAGGGGACACCUAUGUAAAGUGAUGUAAGACUUUGCAGACUUGAAGCAACAGCCCCUUCAGUGCAAGAUUCUUCAUGCUGAGGUCCCUUGCUUUUCUAGAAGGAUAUCUAACUCAGAUGGGGUUACUCCCAACAUCUGAGACAGCUUUUUUUGCCUGUUUGGCUAAUUUGUCCAUUGACUGUAAGCAUUCAGAUGACAUUAUCUUGAGAAGGAGUUGGAGGCAAAUUGAGUCCAUGAUGCAAGAAGUUUAGGACAUAGGUAAGUAUCCUGCAUGACUGGGACCCUGGAACUAGGAAAAUUUAACACCAGUGUGCUGCAAAGUUCUUGGGGAAAAAAAACCAAACAAACCUUUUAGUAUCAAAGCUUUUGAAGUAGAAACAAUGGCCAAUUACCAACAACUUGUCAAGUAGUAGGAAAGAAAACAAUUACUAGGAAAUGCUAAAGACAUGAAAUAUCACUUUGAGCAGAUGGACCCAAAGUGGAAAUGAGCACAACACUUUGAAAGACAGACUCAAGAGCUUUGCACUUUAAGCUAAAACAGAACUAAUUCUGGUCAGUGAUCCUGCCUUUCAACUGUCUCUUCUCAGUGACUGCUCUUUCUGAGGCUAAUGGCAUGUUCUUGCAGACAGUCUCUGCUUCUAGCAGUACAAACACUUGAUGAUUAUAGUCACUAUCAAAGACUGGUAAGGAGAAAGGCUCUUGCUUAUAUUUGCUCUUUUGGAGACCAAGGCCAGUUCUAAACCUUGUGUACCAUGUUGAGUGCAAAAGUUUGCACCUGCAGGGACUAGUGGACAGGUGACCCUUGAUAGGAGAAAAAGGAUAGAGAACAUAGAAUGUAGCAACCUAGUUAAAUCAUUAACUGUGUAAUUAAUAUUAGACAUCAUUAAUAAAGGGAUAAGAGAACUCAGAGUGUAGCAGCCUAGUUUAAUCAUUAACUGUGUAAUUAAUAUUAGACAGGGACAUUGUAGCCAGGUGGGGGUUGGCCUCUUCUCCCAGGCAAGCAGCAAUAGAACAAGGGGACACAGUCUCAAGUUGUGCCAGGGUAGGUCUAGGCUGGAUGUUAGGAGGAAGUUCUUCCCAGAGAGAGUGAUUUCACAUUGGAAUGGGCUGCCCAGGGAGGUGGUGGAGGCACCGUCCCUGGAGGUCUUCAAGAAAAGCCUGGCUGAGGCACUUAGUGCCAUGGUCUGGUUGACUGGAUAGGGCUGGGUGCUAGGUUGGACUGGAUGAGCUUGGAGGUCUCUUCCAACCUGGUUGUUUCUAUGAUUCUAUGAUUCUGUGAUCAUUAAUAAAGGGAUAAGAGAACUCAGAGUGUAGCAGCCUAGUUAAAUCAUUAACUGUGCAAUUAAUAUUACACAUCAUUAAUAAAGGGAUAAGAGAACUCAGAGUGUAGCAGCCUAGUUAAAUCAUUAACUGUGCAAUUAAUAUUACACAUCAUUAAUAAAGGGAUAAGAGAACUCAGAGUGUAGCAGCCUAGUUAAAUCAUUAACUGUGCAAUUAAUAUUACACAUCAUUAAUAAAGGGAUAAGAGAACUCAGAGUGUAGCAGCCCAGUUAAAUCAUUAACUGUGCAAUUAAUAUUACACAUCAUUAAUAAAGGGAUAAGAGAACUCAGAGUGUAGCAGCCUAGUUAAAUCAUUAACUGUGCAAUUAAUAUUACACAUCAUUAAUAAAGGGAUAAGAGAACUCAGAGUGUAGCAGCCCAGUUAAAUCAUUAACUGUGCAAGUAAUAUUACACAUCAUUAAUAAAGGGAUAAGAGAACUCAGAGUGUAGCAGCCUAGUUAAAUCAUUAACUGUGUAAUUAAUAUUGAGCAUCAUCAAUCAGAUAAAUACAAAGGAAGGGGGGUUAAGCUUGAGAGGGUCUCGGAACACUCCCAUGGAGAAUAAAAAUGAUGCAUUCAAAGAUAAGAACAUCGGAGACUCCAGCCAAGAAUGUGACCCACAAUUGGUGCCAGAUGGUCAAAGGCAGAAAGGUCAGUGAGGAAGACGUCAGCGUUCCUCCCGAAGACCCCAAAGGAUGACCACCAGGUGGCAGCGAGCAUGUGUGAAGAGGAGGGACAUUAUGGAAACGAGUUUUGGGAAUUAAUUGUACUAUCUCCUCCUACCAUUUUAACAACCUUACCCCUGUACUGAAUAUGCAUGUUUUUGUAGCGUGUUGUACCUGAGCUAGGUGAAGUUGUGCAAGAGCUCUGAGGAGAACCUCCCCCUGUCACCCAGUGCUGAAUAAAGCAUAUCUUUCCUAAUAACACUUUGUGUGUUGUGAGGACUCAGUUUUCCAUACAUCACCCUGAACUGACCAACAAGGUAUUUCAUUCCAUGUAUGUUAUGUUCUGUAUAUGUAUAGGCAGUAUACAUAUAUGUAUAUAUAUACAUGUAUAUGUAUAGGCAGUAUACAUAGGCUCAGGGAUCACAAGGGUUAAGCUUUCUUCUUCAGUGGCCUGUGGCCCAGAAGAACUUGGAGGAAGACUCUGUUGGUUCUGCCUUUGAUCCUGAUCUGUGAAUUCCUCAAUCCAGUUCUUGAAUCCUGCUCCUGAAUCUGGUUCCUGUCUGCUGCUGAGUCCAGUCUGCAACUUCCCCAGUGCCUGCCCACAGCAUUGGUGGUGAUGUAAUUGAUAUUGGUUUUGUAUAUUUGUUUCAUUUUAGAGAUUUUUGUUUCAUUAAAGCUGUUUUAGUUUUCUUUUCCA